rnacentral:rRNA from 1 species
CCUACGGGUGGCAGCAGUCGAGAAUCAUUCACAAUGGGGGAAACCCUGAUGGUGCGACGCCGCGUGGGGGAAUGAAGGUCUUCGGAUUGUAAACCCCUGUCAUGUGGGAGCAAAUUAAAAAGAUAGUACCACAAGAGGAAGAGACGGCUAACUCGGUGCGAGCAGCCGCGGUAAUGCAGAGGUGUCAAGCGUUGAUCGGAAUCACUGGGCGUAAGGCGUGGGUAGGCUGUUUCGUAAGUCGUGUGUGAAAGGCGCGGGCUCAACCCGCGGACGGCACAUGAUACUGAGCGACUGGAGUAGGGGAGGGGGACCCGGAAUGCGCGGUGUAGCAGUGAAAUGCGUAGAUAUCGAGAAGAACACUGAUGGCGAAGGCAGGUUCCUGGACAUUAACUGACGCUGAGGCACGAAAGCGUGGGUAUCGAACAGGAUUAGAUACCCCUGUAGUC